AGGUGCAGCUGAUUCUGGCAGAGCUGUCCAUCAGCAACAAUAAACUGACCUGUGACCAAGUACCUCCCAGUAUCCUAUUUUGCACCUCAAAGGAGAAACUUGGCUUUUAUUAAUCUAAGGAGGAAAAGCAAGGAGCCUCUCACCCUCAUACCAUCCUGGACACACAGGGUAAAGAGCAGGCCUCCAGCUCACCCCUGGAGAGGCCCACGUGAGCUGUGCAGGAAAUGAGCUCAUCUGACUGGUGAUUCCCAGAUCUGGGAGAGCAUCACCUGCUGCCAGGAGACUCCCUGCUAGCACCCAGUACUUGGUGACCUGUAGCUUUUGUCAAGAUUAGAGGAAGCUACAGUCUUCCAGCAAUUUCAGAAAUCUGAAGAGCUCAGGAUCCUCACCAUAUUGCGAUGACUGAGCUCAGCAGCUACAGGAAUUAAAAGGAUAUGAAAGAUAUUACCAAGAGCAUGCUUGAAACUGCCAGACACGAAGGCAUUGUGCCCAUUGAGGACACACAGCACAUGAUUGUCC